GAGUAUAAAGAUCAUUCUUUGGGACAGACGCAGCUUGCGUUUGCUGAAGCUCCAAAUGAAGCCCUUCCUCUUAAUUGCAGGCCUAACUUUGGUGCUGCGUGGUUGACCAAAGAUAAAUUUAAGGUGAAUAGAACGUAUGACUGCUGGUACCAAUCUGGCAUUUCCAAAGUGAGCUUAUAUCACGAUGGUUUUUUCAGUUGCCAAGCAAAAGAUCCAUCUACCAUUGAGAUGAUUAGACGAUAUUCCAUCCUGUAUGACAAAAUCAAUAUCUUGAAAAAUUGGUGU